ensembl:lncRNA
AAUGGGAAGCAUUCACAGCUCCUCACAAAGAAACCUACCCUUUCCCACUCACAUACCUACUGGUACUUUGUGACCUAUAUGCAACUCCUUGAGUGUUGCCUAUUCUGUAGGGGUUAGAAAGGGACCUUUUAGAGACCAUCUCAUCCAACCAUCAUGCUAAAGCAGGUAUUGCUGAAUCUUUUUCUAUGCUGAGGAUCCUGAGCCACUGACUCACUGAACAUAUAAGGAAAACAUUAUAAAUCACAUUGUUUUCCAUCUAAUCAGAGAUGUAAGAACUCAUUUUGCCCAGUAGCUCUUCUGAGAACUGACGAAAUCAACAGGAAAAUUGGCAAAAAAAAAAUGUUGCUGACUAGCAAUAACGUACUUUUCAUUGAACUUCCUAAUUGAAUGAGGAACGUGCUUAAUUAUGUGAUCCCAGUGGUAAUAUCUGACAUAAUCAGGUUUCUAUUUGGUUCUCUCUCUAUUCCUCCCUGCCACCAUCCUCAUGUAAUUUCUAAUCUUGCUACAAUAAUUGCUAAACUGCUCUCUGACAUUUAAUGCAUAAAUAAGGAUAGGAAGAAGGCUAGAACAACGUAAAUAUUUACAGUGCCACCAUAAUUAGUCUCAUCCAUUGAAAAAAAACUUUCUUGUGAGCCACAUAAUGAAUCCUUCCAUGUUCUGAAAACAUGAAAAAUAAAGCAAAAAAUUGAAGAGAUGUGGUAUGAUCAUAGCAGGGGAAGGUAUCUCUAAGGGUUUUUUUUUAUGUUUGCUGUGUUUUGUUUUGUGUUUUGGUUUUCUUUUCUGUAAAUGAGCAAUUAUCUCUCAGUAAAUUGUAGCACAAUGCUUGUCAAUACCAUGUAAAAAAAUUAAGCCCUUGAGAUUACUUGUGUUCAAAUUAAUUUAGAAAGGAUUACAAAACAGAAGAUGAUAUUUCAGAACUGGCUUAAAAUUGGAAAAGAAAUCAUGGCUGUUGGCCAUGCAAAUUAUCUGUGUGUAUCCUAUUUGUUGGAUUUUGUGUCCAGUAAGCUGUUCUGCAUCCUGGAAAAUCAGAAGACUCAUAAUCUUCUGGAAUUUAUGACUUCAUACUUCAACAGUUUUGGUGAAUAGGAUAUGGAUGUACAUCUGGGUAUAUGGGGUAUAACUGCAUGUACCGUAUGUGUGAAAAGUUCUUAUUUCUGGCAGUAAUAUACAACUUCCCCUAACACAGAUAAAUGACUGAAAAAUCCUUUAAAAGGAAUGAAGAGCAAUCUUAAGCUUGUAAAUGAAAGAAUAAAUGUUUAUUCUUUGAUAAACAUAGAGAAUUUCAGUGCUGACCCACUUAGAAAACAACUGUUGUGGAUAUUAGGGACAGAAGAGCUCCAGAUGGGAUAUUUGACGUGUAUAAACAUUUUCUUGGAGGAUAAUGGACACUGAUGAUGACAGCAGACAAUAGAUAGAAGGAAAAAAAAGAAAACCACCGUAUACUUGCAGUGUGCUUUUUACCUGUUCAAAUGCAAGUCUGAAGUGUAGGGCAGUAUGCAUUAAAAUCUCAGAACUGCAUUAAGUAAAAGGUUAGAUAAAUUAUUUGUUUAUAGAUCAGACAUUUUUUCAUUAUGAAAAUCAAGAAUGCUUCGUAAAUAUCACCACUCUGAUUUCAAAUCCCCUUUGGCUUUAAUACUGUAUAACUCUUGCUAAAUAUUUCAUAUUUUAUAUGGUUUUUUUUGCUCUGAAGCAUGCAAGUCUGUGAUGUGAUUCAGACAGAUGAUUCCCUCUUCAAAUCAUGGAUAUUUUAUUGAAGCUUCUGUGAAGAAUAGGGAGCUCGAGAACUGUUUUAUCCUUGAAAAUUCAUCUCCAAGAAUACAUUAUUAGAAAAACUUCUGUAUUCUCCAGUAUGUCAAAAAGUAGCCAAGGGAGAGAAGGAAUGGGCAUGAAAAUAUAAGGAUGAAGAUGGAACAGAACUGAUAAGCAACAUUUUUUUUUUAGCCUCACAGUUUUAGAUCUGUUGAUCUUGUCAGUGCAGAAAUGGUUGUUUAAUUUGUAUUAAAAACGAGUAUCAGACCUUCUCAUGGGAGAAAUUCCAUAAUUGUCAGAAGAAAUAGUUUGCAGAAUAGGUAAUAAAAUGAAGGAAGCCUUUCAAGAAGAAUUGAACACUUAAUCUGUGAAAAUAAUGUUUAUGACAGACUCAUGCUUACUUUGGGUUGGUAACAGCUGAGAUCUUAAUUAGUCAUGUUGAUCAGUGCUGCUUAAUUGUAUUCUCAGGGUCCUUCAUCUUUUGAACUUCCCUGCUGUCUCUUGUCUACUGCAUCAGUUACUUCUUAGGACCUCUGAUUGUGGCUGUGAUUGGCUUUGAAGAGUUAGGCACCCUACAAACCCCAGGAGAGCUGACGUGAGGAAUAACCAUCCUAGGACUGGAGAGAAGUGAUCACCUUCCCAUUGUAUGUAGGAGGUACUGGCAUUCUGAGAUGUAUGCCAUUUAUUUUAAUAAACCAAACACUGUUUGGAUAAUUCAUAACGGAUAAUAAUUUGUGAAAAAAUAUCAGUGUUUUUUCAUUUGCACAGUCUGCAGAUUGACGCUUCUCAAAUCCAUCAAGCUUCCUUUCUUUCCCACUUCUGUACUUAAUAUCAAAGAAAUAUAAUGGAAUUAGUCUCUGAUUCUUAAAAGCAUGUGAGAAAUGCUUCAUUGCACUCAGCCUCGCACAGUCAGCACGCAGAAAAAUGUAAUUCUGUCCACUGCUAUUCCAUCUCCCCACCCAAGGCUUACAUCUGCUGCACAUUAAGGUUUUGAAGAUGGGAACUUUGAUGACAACAGAUACUGUGCUUUCAGUACACACAUGUAAGCCUUGAAACUCACUGGGUACAUAUAACGACAGUUGGAAGUAAAAGUUUCUCAUUCCUAUGAUUCCUCUCCCAGCAUGAAUGCCAACCAUUAAAUCUAUUACACUAAUACUGCCUGAGAGAACUGGCUUCAAACUGAAUAUAUGCCAUCCUUCCUGAUAUCAUAGGUGAAAAAAAAAAAAAAGGGUUUCUCAAGUAGUUUAUCUCUUCUGAGAUUUCUUCAGUGUUGAUUGAGUAACUUCAGGUAACCUUAAUGAGUGGAAGAACACCGUGUAUCCUUGUAGAAGUCCUACAUUUCAGAGAUGUAAGUCCUGCAUUUCAUAGCAAUUCCCACUUGAACAGAGAUCAUACUUCUGAGGCUUGAGAGCUCUCCAGCUGAUAGCACUCCUAGAAAGAACAUCACGCCAACCCCUGGAGGCCUGGUUGGUUUUCUUUUUGUUUAUUUUAAACUUCCCUUUGUUUGCCUUCUGUGCUUACCAGAGUAAAGUCAGAAAUGGAAAGGUAAAUAAAAUCAAGCCAAAUAGUCUCUUGCAUGCAUGGAAAUGUACUGAAGCAACAGCUGUUUGGUUUUUUUUUGUGUGUGUGUGACAUCAGCUGCAUGUUGAGAAAACAGGGUUACAUUUUAGAAAGUCUUCUUUAAGAUAGAGGAUGCGAACAUUUUAGAAAAUCAUCAGUAACUCAAAGAUCCAAGGAACUGGAACAUACAACCACAGCCUGGGAUAGCAGCAGUCCUUCACAGCAGCCAAGUAUCUGCCACAAGGACCGGAGCUGCACUGAAUGUGAUGAACAAACUCUUGCUUUAAUGGUGGUAGAGGACAUGUCACAGUGCUGUGGAUGCAUGAAGUAUACACAUAGCUGUGCAAACCCCUUGGUCUGUGCAUGAGCCCUGACAAAGCUGAGAACAGCAUGGUGCUUUGUAUUCUUUACUGACAGCCCCAGCUCAACAAGGGACGUUUAACUAGGAGAGAACAAAAGAAGCUUUAAAUACAUGAAGUAGAAAUGAUAAUGCUAAGGUAAUAGUAACAUAAUUUGUAAGGCAAAUAUAGCUCUGCCCAAUAGCAUAUAUGAAUUAGUUACAUAUCCUGAUUUCAGACGGGGUUUUGAAUAAUGAAAUACAACAGCACAUGGUCUAGAAUUAUGGUGGCUCACUGGUGGAUCCCAGGAGCUCCUGAAGCUCUAACUUAAGGCCAUGGAAAUUAAAGAAGUCCCAGUAGUUUUCACAGGAUUAUUCCUUCAGUAAUUACUAUUACAUAAAAAAGAAAUGCAAAAGAGAGAGACUGAGCAUAUAUCUUUAUCUUAAUCCUGCUUUUUCUACUUCAAGCUCACAGCAUAAUUAUUUAGAGACACGAGCCCAAAGCUCAUUGGUCUUGUUAUUUAUUUUAUCUGAAGCAUUUGGCUUUAUUGUUUCUUAUGAUCACUCACAUACUCAUUCUCCAUAUCUACUUCAUGAGUACAGAACUCAGAAAAAAUAACUAAAACUACUGAGGUUAAUGACUGCUAAGAAUUCUGCAAAGUGGAUCUGUAGAUCAUGUUGUCUUCAAACUGUGAUAAAGGAACAAAGAAGCCCUCUGCAUCUCCAAAUAGUGAUUCAUCAGCUUCAACAUUGACAAAGACAUUUUUGGAUGAGAAGAUUUUGAGAAAUAAAAAGUUAAAGUUAAUCAGAAAAUGGUGGUCAGCAAUGCACUAUGAUUCUACUGUUCUGUUUCUCUAGAAGAGAGUUGGAAAGGGCACCAGCUGCAGGUUGCUCCUUGAGUUCCAGCUUGCACAAAUUGAACUGUGAUUAAAAAGAGAAAGG